rnacentral:rRNA from 1 species
AGCGAACGUUAGCGGCGGGCCUAACACAUGCAAGUCGAGCGAGAAAAGGGCUUCGGCCCUGAGUAAAGCGGCGGACGGGUGAAUAACACGUAGGUAACCUUCCCUUGAGCGGGGGACAACGGUCCGAAAGGACCGCUAAUACCGCAUACGUUUCCUGGGACCUCGGUUCCGGGAAGGAAAGGCCCGCAAGGGCCACUCGAGGAGGGGCCUGCGUAGCAUCAGCUAGUUGGUGGGGUAAUGGCCUACCAAGGCGAAGACGCUUAGCUGGUCUGAGAGGAUGAUCAGCCACACUGGGACUGAGACACGGCCCAGACUCCUACGGGAGGCAGCAGUGGGGAAUAUUGGACAAUGGGCGAAAGCCUGAUCCAGCCACGCCGCGUGAGUGAUGAAGGCCUUCGGGUCGUAAAGCUCUGUGGGGAGGGACGAACGGCGCCGUGAAGAACGGCGAUUGACGGUACCUCCUUAGCAAGCACCGGCUAACUUCGUG